AUGGCACGACGAGGGCUUAACUGUCUCCUUCCUCCAGUCAAUGAAAUUGAUCUCCCCGUGCAGAAGCGGGGAUACCCUCAUAAGACGAGAAGACCCUGUGGAGCUUUAGACUUACAGUAGGACCAUGUCAAGGACCCCCCACUAACGGCCCGAACUAAUUGGCCCCCUACUACAUGUCUUUGGUUGGGGCGACCGCGGGGAAAUGAAAAACCCCCAUGUGGAAUGGGAGCACCCCUGCUCCUACAACCAAGAGCCACAGCUCUAAGUAACASAAUUUCUGACCAGUCAGAUCCGGCAUAGCCGAUCAACGGACCGAGUUACCCCAGGGAUAACAGCGCAAUCCUCUUCUAGAGCCCAUAUCGACAAGAGGGUUUACGACCUCGAUGUUGGAUCAGGACAUCCUAAUGGUGCAGCCGCUAUUAAGGGUUC
rnacentral:rRNA from 1 species